rnacentral:misc_RNA from 1 species
UAAUAAGUGUUUUAUGGCACUUUUUAAAUCCAUAUCCACCUUGUGUGCAAUGUCAGUCGAUCUUCUUCAUGGAGAUCGACCAAACAUCAACCUUUAUCUUUUAACUCUUUGUCUGAAAAAUAUUAUGAAUAAACAAUUCAAAAUACAACUUUCAACAACGGAUCUCUUGGCUCUCGCAUCGAUGAAGAACGCAGCGAAAUGCGAUACGUAAUGUGAAUUGCAGAAUUCAGUGAAUCAUCGAAUCUUUGAACGCAUAUUGCGCUCUUUGGUAUUCCGAAGAGCAUGCUUGUUUGAGUAUCAGUAAACACCUCAAAGCUUUUGGAUUUUUUAAUCGAAAAGCUUUGGACUUGAGCAAUCCCAACACCAAUCUUUUUGAGAUCGGUGGCGGGUUGCUUGAAAUGCAGGUGCAGCUGGACAUUCUCCUGAGCUAAAAGCAUAUUCAUUUAGUCCCGUCAAACGGAUUAUUACUUUUGCUGCAGCUAACAUAAAGGGAGUUUGACCGUAUUGGCUGACUGAUGCAGGAUUUCACAAGGGUCGGCAACGAUUCUUGUUAAACUCGAUCUCAAAUCAAGUAAGACUACCCGCUGAACUUAAGCAUAUCAAUAAGCGGAGGAAUCGCGAUCUUGGUCAUUUAGAGGAAGUAAAAGUCGUAACAAGGGUUCCGUAGGUGAACCUGCGGAAGGAUCACUAGUGAUUAAAUCGAGCGUGUCUUCAUUGACCGCUCACCCUUCUCACCAUCCACAUACACCUGUGCACUGUUUAGCCUGAGCCGGUUUUCCGGUCCAGGUUAUCAUUUCAUACAAACUCUAGUCUUAUGAAUGUAAACGUUUUAAUAACAUAAUA